AGGGUUCGAUUCUGGCUCAGGAUUAACGCUGGCGGCGUGCCUAAUACAUGCAAGUCGAAUGGUAGCAAUACCAUGGCGAACGGGUGAGUAACACGUAGGUAACCUGUCUUUAGGCCGAGGAUAACCAUUGGAAACGAUGGAUAAUACUGGAUAGGACAUUUGAAGGCAUCUUUAGAUGUUUAAAGAUUUAUCACUUAGAGAGGGGCCUGCGGCGCAUUAGCUAGUUGGUGAGGUGAAGGCUUACCAAGGCGAUGAUGCGUAGCCGGACUGAGAGGUUGAACGGCCACAAUGGAACUGAGAACGGUCCAUACUCCUACGGGAGGCAGCAGUAGGGAAUUUUCGGCAAUGGGCGGAAGCCUGAACCCGAGCAACGCCGCGUGAACGAAGAAGUAUUUCGGUAUGUAAAGUUCUUUUAUUAGGGACGAAAAGACAGAUUGACGGUACCUAAUGAAUAAGCUCCGGCUAACUACGUGCCAGCCGCAGC
rnacentral:rRNA from 1 species